GCAUUGCUAAUGCAUGCUGACUAAUAACCCUUGCGUGCUAACUAAUUUUCGCAGGAUUUCCUUUUCUUGAUUUUUAAGUUCCACCAUCCUCACUUAAAUCUUAAAGCCACUUCUUCUUGAAUUUUAGAAGAAGAAGAAUAAUAAUAAAAAAAAAACGGGUUUCAAAAGGGAAGAAGAUGUAGACCUAUAAGAGAGGAGAUAGGGGGAGGGGGUAGGUUUGCAAAUUGGUAGAUGCACAAGUGACCGCACCAGUUGAGUCGCAGCUUGCCAUGACGCUGUACUACAUAUCACUUGGAAGUCACCCAAAUUAACAUCUCACAAAACAAAUGAUGAUUGGAGUGCGAGUGUAACAUAACUUGUGUCCUAGUAAAUGUUAAAUGAAAACAUGCUGUGCCCUACAAAAUAUCCGUGAAUUAGAUGCAUCCUUGAUUCACACCACGACUAUUGGAUCAAUAUUUAAUGCCCAUAGAUAUAUAUUUGUAUAAAAAGAGUUCAGAAAAAGAAAACAAUGCGCAGGCAUCUACAACUCCAGGGUGGCAGACUAUUGUCAACUAAAUAAUAAGCUAGGAUUGCCACAAUUCAAAUGUUGCAGAGAGAAAUCAAGUUCAACCGUCCAUCAUGGGUCCAUCAAUCAAGGACCGGUCAUCGAGCAGUCCUGAGCAGUAAGCAUAUAACCUAGGUGGACCUAACAUCAGUACUGUACUACAUGCCUAUUUUAAGUUGAUCGAUGCAUGGACUGUGGUGAGAAGCUUCUCCUCUGUGUAAAUUGGGUACGCCGUACGCCUGCUUGCCUAAGAUUGAGCCUGAACAAAUGAGCCCAAAGGCGGGACGAGCGGCCCACGGACCUUCCUUUCUCCCCAGGAGCCUAGAUCCAUGCCAUUCCCGUUUUAGCCCCUUUAUCUCAGAGCCUCCCCCCAUUCUCUCCCUCCCUGUUUUUUUUUCUUGUCAAAGAC
rnacentral:lncRNA from 1 species